UACGGAGGGUGCAAGCGUUAUCCGGAUUUACUGGGUUUAAAGGGUGCGUAGGCGGAUUUGUAAUCCGAGGUGGAAUCUCCGAGCUUAACUCGGAAAAUGCCUUGGAUACUAUAAGUCUUGAAUGACGUUGAGGUUAGCGGAAUAUGUCAUGUAGCGGUGAAAUGCUUAGAUAUGACAUAGAACAUCGAUUGCGAAGGCAGCUAACUAAGCGUAUAUUGACGCUUGUUCACGAAAUCGUGGGGAUCAAACAGG
rnacentral:rRNA from 1 species